GCGAGAUGACGAUAGAAAUUCAUUUGGUCUGUCAAUCCACUGAUUGAUUGUGAUGUUAUAAUGAAAUCCCGACAGGUUCUGAUCGC